GCCACGGUGGUCUAACGGUUAGAACUCUGGCCUUGUAAUCCUGGGGUCUCGGGUUCGAUUCCCGGCGGUGCCC
rnacentral:tRNA from 1 species